rnacentral:rRNA from 1 species
CCUACGGGAUGCAGCAGUGAGGAAUAUUGGUCAAUGGCCGAGAGGCUGAACCAGCCAAGUCGCGUGAGGGAAGACGGCCCUACGGGUUGUAAACCUCUUUUGUCGGGGAGCAAAGCGAGUCACGUGUGACUCAUUGAGAGUACCCGAAGAAAAAGCAUCGGCUAACUCCGUGCCAGCAGCAGCGGUAAUACGGAGGAUGCGAGCGUUGUCCGGAUUUAUUGGGUUUAAAGGGUGCGCAGGCGGCGGUGCAAGUCAGCGGUAAAAUUGCGGGGCUCAACCCCGUACUGCCGUUGACACUGCAUCCCUUGAGUGCGCGAGAAGUAUGCGGAAUGCGUGGUGUAGCGGUGAAAUGCAUAGAUAUCACGCAGAACUCCGAUUGCGAAGGCAGCAUACCGGCGCGCAACUGACGCUCAUGCACGAAAGUGUGGGUAUCGAACAGGAUUAGAUACCCCGGUAGUC